rnacentral:rRNA from 1 species
GUAGGGAAUAUUGGACAAUGGGGGCAACCCUGAUCCAGCGACGCCGCGUGAGUGAUGAAGGCCUUCGGGUCGUAAAGCUCUGUUGUAGGGGAAGAACACAAUGACGGUACCCUGCUAGAAAGGAUCGGCUAACUUCGUGCCAGCAGCCGCGGUAAGACGAGGGAUCCUAGCGUUGUUCGGAAUUAUUGGGCGUAAAGCGGGUGCAGGUGGCUUGGUAAGUCAGAUGUGAAAGCCUGGGGCUUAACCCCAGAAGUGCAUUUGAUACUGCUGAGCUUGAGUGCUGGAGAGGCUAUUAGAAUUCCUGGUGUAGUGGUGAAAUACGUAGAUAUCAGGAGGAAUACCGGAGGCGAAGGCGGUUAGCUGGCCAGACACUGACACUCAGACCCGAAAGCGUGGGGAUCAAACAGGAUUAGAAACCCGGGUAGUCC